rnacentral:snRNA from 1 species
AGCUUUGCGCAGUGGCAGUAUCAUAGCCAAUGAGGUUUAUCCGAGGUGCGAUUAUUGCUAAUUGAGAU